rnacentral:lncRNA from 1 species
CAAAUAUAUUUUAGUCAGAAAUACCUGAAACAAAAAUUCUGAUCACACUCUGAUUUCUGUUUAAUAAUCAUUAAUGUCUCUGCAAAGCUUAUGAUGGAAUAAAGUGCAAGCACCUAAAUAUAUAGCAUAGUUAAGUACUUGUAGUUAGGAGCUUUGGGUUUACUUUGAUUUAAUAGAAAAACCCAAAAUGAUACUAGAGUAGCCUAUAAAUGAGAAAAUUAUAUUUCUGUGUCAUAUAUAAAAAGUGUGGAGGCAGGAUGACUUAGGCUGUUAUGGAGGUUUCACAAAGUCAUCAAAAAACUCAGUCUCCUUUGCUCUGCCAUGCUUAGCACAAGAUUUCUAUUCUCAAAGUCACUUUUUGGUCCCAGUUAAUCACUGGAGCUCCAGCCAUCCUAUCUGUUACAGGUAGCAGAAAAAGAAGACACAAGGUGAAGUUGAAGAAAGGAGAACAUCUGAAGCAACUUCUUAAUUUUUUUUUCUCCAAAUGACACUCAAUAGUAUGAGAAAAGAAGCAUGAUUUCAAAAGAAUGGCCCCAAAUAAAGAGAUAUUAUUAUGUCACCAAGGUCCAAAGUCUUUCAUAGAUAUGACUAAGAAAAUAAAAAGGGUAGAAGGGAAUGGAAAGGAACAUUGAGACAUCAGGAGAAAAGUGAACAAGUAGUCAACUCCAAGAAUCAAGAACAAAGAACUACUGGACUACCCAUUGAAAAAGGGUGAAGUAAAGCCUGUACAAAAUUAAACUAACCAAGCUCGCUGUCUAAAGCAAACACAUUCACUAUAUCUUGGGUGCAAUUUUCUAGAAUUAGUGAAUAUUCCUAACCACUUAAUGAUGUUUUGUAUUAAUAGAACAUGAUAUUCAUCCCCUCUGAUGUAAAGGCACAUACAUUAGUAAUUAAUACAACAUUAACUAGUAAUACUUUUUAGGUUUCCUUACUUAGUGAACUAAUAUUUUAUGGCUAAUUUGUUCAAAUAAGGCUUCCAUCAUGAAUUUAUUGUAAAGAAUAGCAUGAUUAGAAAAAUAUGAUGAGAACAAUAAAUAGUAUGUAAAACUACAAAUACAUUGCCUGGUAUAUCUUAAAACCUGAAUAAGUAGUUGAUAUAUAAUAAUAAAUUUCUGUCAGACUACUGUUUAUCAAUUUUCUUUUUAGGAAAAUUAUACUUUAUAGAAUGUUUUUAUAAUAGUAUGGCUGAGUUAGACUCUUAGUUGCUCUGGGUUUUGUCACUAGAUUCAAAAGCUAGGGACAAAUUUCUGAUUCUGUCACAUUCUAAAAAGAACUGGAUACCUAAGAAAAUACACAGUGCAGUAUUUAAAGAGGCUAACUGUCUCCAACGUUCAGAAAAUAGGUAGGUAGGUAGGUAGGUAGAUAGAUAGAUAUGUGGGUAGGAUGAUAAAAUAAAAUAUACAACAUUGACGAAUCUAGGUAAAUGAGUUUAUUUGCAAUAUUAUUUAAAAUCUUCAGGAAAUAUGGAAUUAUAUCUAAAUAAAUAGUAUU